GCCUGGGUGGCUCAAUCAGUUAAGCAUCAGACUUCAGUUCAAGUCAUAAUCUCACGGUUCGUGGGUUCAAAACCCACAUCGGGCU
rnacentral:tRNA from 1 species